rnacentral:lncRNA from 1 species
UGCCAUCUCCUCAGAAGUUUUCCUGAGCUUGGCAGGGCUAGUUCUCUUGACAAUUCCACUUGCAGUUGUGGUUCACAGCACACAAGUAAAGCUUUGUUGUUUCUCUUGUGAUUAGUCCGUGAAGGGGCUCUGACUUGAUCACUUUUCUACAUUGCCACCAAUACCUAAAUCCAACCGCCCCAAUGCCAAUACUUAGCCAGUGUUAAGCACGUAGUGUUUAAACACACCUCAACACGCAAGUAUUGUAAGAUAAUGACCACACAACAGGGCAAAUACAAAGUUAAAGCAGGUCCGGGACCAAUACAAAGCAUCACUUAAUGAUAGAAACUAAAGACAGAGCUAAAAUUUUUGAAAAUUCAAACUCUUUCUAAAGAUAAUACCUUUCUAAUAUUGAAAAAUAUUUAAAUAUAAAAAUCUUUCAAUUUCUUUAGAAAACAGAGGCUCUUCGGUUGCAGUAUCGCUACUUAGACUUGCGUAGUUUCCAAAUGCAGUAUAACCUGCGACUGAGGUCCCAGAUGGUCAUGAAAAUGCGGGAAUAUCUCUGUAAUCUGCAUGGUAAGAGAAAUGCCUGGAUGCUCUUUGGAGCUUUGUAGCAUCUCUUCUAUUUUAUUCAGCAGUUUUAUUGUAUCCUUUCCUUAGCAUGAGGUCAAGAUGUUGCCAGAAGUCUGGAAUUCACUCAAUGUGUAAUGUAGUUUUUGAAGAAAAGUUAACAUUAUUUUAAAGAUGAUAAAGAUGAUAGUCGCUAUUACAUUGAUUAAUGUAUUAUAGUAUUUCCCAUCAUCAUCAAAGGCAGGACAGCCCUUUGGCUUUUUCUAUAAGAUUUCUUUUCUUUUUUUUUUUUGAGACGGAGUUUUGCUCUGGCUAGAAUGCAGUGGCAUUACCACAACUCACUGCAGCCUCAACCUUUUAGGCUUAACCGAUCCUCCCACCACACCUUCCCAAGUAGCUAGGACCACAGACAUGCACCACCACACCCAGCCAAUUUUUAAAAAUUUUUUGUAGAGACAGGGUCUCAUUAUGUUGCCCAGGCUGGUCUCAAACUUCUGGGUUUAAGCAAUCCUCCCACCUAACCAUCCCAAAGUGCUGGGAUUACAGGCAUGAACCACGAUACCCAGCCAGUUUUCUUAAUUCUUUAUCAUGUGCAUACAUCACUUAUUGGGAGCUCAAAAAUGUCAUGUGAAUUAAACUAGACAUCUCAUUCAGUCCUGGACUUUUUCUGCUAUAUUUGUGUUAUUUCUACACUAACAGAACAUUUAAAAAAUCAGAAUAGUUCAGUAGACAAGAAUCCAUUAAAUAUUUAGAAUUAUUUUAUGUGAACAGUAUGCUUUAUGAACAGAAUAGUAUUUAUGAAAAUCUUCAGCUUCCUUCUUAGAUUUGUAGAAACCAGCACCAGUAGGCUUGGUAGCUUAUUUCAGCUAAAAUUCUUAAUUAAAGGGAAGCCUCAGAUUUGUUGUACUAUAUUGUGGACAUCAUAUAUGACAAAUUUCACAUUCCUAUCUACUAAGUGAUAAUGUUUCUCUCUUUUUAGGGUUUGUGGAUAUAGAAACCCCCACAUUGUUUAAGAGGACCCCAGGGGUAUGUAUAUUCCUUCAAUCAGUCUAUUAAUAAUGUCCUAUUAGUUAUAAAGCUAGACUACUUUGCUUUUAUAUUCACUUGGUCCACUUUUAUUUACUGCCUCAGGAUGGUCAUAUUAACUAGGUUUUUCUGAAGAAUUGAGAAAAUUAUUUGGGUAUUUUGAGUCAGAAUCAUUUUAUUCCACAUAAAUUUUCUUUCCUUUGAGUUUUUUUGUUUUUUUUUUUUUUUUUUUUUUUUUGGUUUGUUUUGGGUUUUUUUUUUUGUUUUUUUUUUUUUUUUGAGACAGUCUCACUCCAUCACCCAGGCUGGAGUGCAGUGGCAUGAUCUCAGCUAAUUGCAACCUCUGCCUA